rnacentral:tmRNA from 1 species
GUGCAGCGUCAUUGACAUCAGCCCCUCCGCGCGGUUUGGUCGCUUGGCCGCACGGAUCCGUCGAAGCGACUGGCUGAGCGCCAGCCUGCCGGCCGGCGGGCGCGAGGCGAGACCCAAAUGACCAGGCUAAGCAUGUAGUCCUGACUGUAGAGGACUUGCGGACGCGGGUUCGAUUCCCGCCGCCUCCACCA